AAAAAAAAACAUAACCAAAGAGAAGUGGACUAUAUAAUUCAACAACUACAAAUCCAAAGAAGUCCCAUUCCCAUAUAUAGGUAGUUAGUUUGAAAAAAUGUGGUAGAAAUAUACAUUAAGAUGUGAUCAACGCAAGAGGUUGUAAGAAGGCAUGUCUUCAAUGAGCAACACAUCAUCCAUUAGAAAUUCCUUCUCAAGCUGAGACCUCGUGGAUCUUAGAAUGUCCUGUUUUAAGGCAGAUGUGAGUAACAAGAUUCGGAUAGGAGAUGAUGGUAACGGGGCGAGCUAGGGUUCUAAUUUGCUUACGUUGAACUCCAUGUAGGUCGCGUGUUUGUCCAGCCACAGCUUGUCCAUGACCAUGAAAGCCACGCAGUAUAGGAGGUCGAAAGCCCAUUCGUUCUCUGCAGAAAAAGGCACGGCUCAAGUUGUUAGACGAGUCCAUCAACGCAGACUAGAGGAGAAAGAUAGAUUGAUUGCCUCACCGGAUAACAUUUGCAGAAAAACGGCUCUCAUGAAACUUGGUGGCUUUGCUGCAUACAGAUGAGCUCACAUUACUCAUAUUCCAAACUGAAUUUAAUUAAAUAAACUGACUUACUAGCAUCUAGAUCAAGCAUUUGCAAGAUCAUGAAUGUAAUGUUUANUUAACAGUGCAUUGUUUAUUCGGAUCUCCACAAAUCAUUGACAGCAAAUUAAUCAUCCACACUAUACUCAAUGCAAAAUAAAUGACUAGGACAUAUAUAUUUGGAUUAGAACUUGUAUUUAUCUUGCAACAUUCAGCUCGGCAACAGCAAGCUCACAUAUCAAUUCGAAACACCAGCGGCAGAGAGAUUAGAACGCGUACAGAAAUUCAGAGAAAAAGACUCGUAACAAUUACAUAAUUUGUUCUGGAGUAAGAAUCAGAUAUAUAUAAUUAACUAUAUCCUCAAAUGUUUAAUCAUAGAUGACGAGAACUAAUUAUACAAAUAAAACAAAUACGAUGUAUAUCUAUUAGGUAUAAGAUUUAUGCCAAAGUUCGAUAUAUAUCUAUAAUGAAAGAUGAACACACAUAACUCGAGGUGUUUCAGAAAUAGGAAAUGAAAUAAAAAUCUCAUAGCAUUUCAUCAAUGACAUACAAAUUAGAACUAGCAAUAUCCUGAUUGUCCUAAUGUAGUGAUAAAGCAAAACUUGCCAAGUAAACGGAUUCACGAUCUACACAAUUUACCCAAAUACAAAUUGCGAGAGAGGAAAAACCUUGUAACGUUUGUGCAGGCGACAGUUUGAUUACAGGGAACCUCAAUAAGCUAUUAUCUAACACUUUUUGCCCCAAAUUUCAAUAGACAAUUUAAUAGAAGUAAGCUAAUAGCUAAACCAGCAGAAUUUUAAAAAAUCGAGCCCUAUGCUUAAAGCCCUAAGUCCUAAAACUGAGACAAAGCUUACCUACAGUCGAGUCAGGGACGACGACGGCGAGUGGGUGCCGGCUAAUGAGAGACUUCACCGUCAAAGGUGCUGUGGCGGCGGUGGUGGAAUGCGGUGGUAACUAUGAGAGAGAUGAGAAAUUAAGAGUGAGUGAGAGAAAAAGAGCAAAUAGAAAAUUAACAAUAAAGAGAUGAGAAUUGACACUAGGCGGUGUGGUGGUGAAGAAGAGCAGUGAUAGCGGUGGAGUGCGGCGGUGGGGGGUUUUUUACAAUCGUCGUUGGUUGCGUCUGACAUUUCAGUAUAAGACUGCCGACGUCCGUCGGUCGGCCUUCCGCCGGCAAUCUCCUAUGGCCGUGGCUCCAUAAAAAUUUCCGACAAUGUCCGAUUAUUUUUCUUGUAAUGAAUCUGAUAAUUCGUAGGGAAGGAAAUGGAGAAAAGUAUUCCAAAAGUCUUGCUUUGACCCCCAAAAAAUUGAAAUUUGAAAAUUGGCGCCGAAAUUAUACAUAUGUCAGUGUUGCCGAAACAUUUGGCAAAUAAAAUUGCCGAAUUCUGAUGCCAUGAUACACCACUUCCCAAGAAUGUAAUGAGUGCUUGACGGAAGGAGUUAACUCUGUUAACUCAUCUCUGCAAAAGAAAAAGAUAAAUUCAUAAAUGGAAGAUAGACACGUGGCGCACAUCCAAGGUAGGAGUGUUGGAGACCCUGGUGUAGGGUAGAAUUUACCUAGUAUGAGAAGCAUCGCGUUGCUUUCACUUCGAGCUUUCGCUCCGAACUUUCUCGAACAUUACAAAAAUACAUUCUUAUCAAAAUUGAAAAUCUCAAUACUUUAUUUUUUUUAAUCAUAUAUAUGUAUUUUUAAAAUUCAAUAAUACAAUCUUGGUGGGAAUUAGGUGAAUUGUACUUUGCCUCUCCACUAAUUAUUCCAAAUAUAGCAUCUCACCCCAUGAAUUUUAAGAUUUUAUAAUUACGCCCCUUGAAUUUUAUGUCCAAUUUACGACAAAUAUUUUUUAAAAUUUCUAUUGAAAAUCCAAGAACGUAGUCUUGAGCAACAAUGCUACCAGCUACAAAGUUGCUAUGAAAAAGUGUCAACUAAAAACUUGUAUACAUUAUAUAGUAUCCAAAUGAUCUUAGAUCUUCGAAGCUAUACAAAGUAAGAAAAAAAAACAUACCAAAGAGAAGUGGACUAUAUAAUUCAACAACUACAAAUCCAAAGAAGUCCCAUUCCCAUAUAUAGGUAGUUAGUUUGAAAAAAUGUGGUAGAAAUAUACAUUAAGAUGUGAUCAACGCAAGAGGUUGUAAGAAGGCAUGUCUUCAAUGAGCAACACAUCAUCCAUUAGAAAUUCCUUCUCAAGCUGAGACCUCGUGGAUCUUAGAAUGUCC
rnacentral:lncRNA from 1 species